CACCUUCCUUUGAGCUCAUACCAUUUUAAACAACCUCUUGUGUAAAUAUUUGAGUCUAACUUUUACAAAGGGAACUGCUAGCUUGGACCUUCCAUUUAAUUCAGAGCUCAACACAAAUUCGAUUCCCAAUGAAGACUUCUUGAGCUAUACCGAGAGAAGAAGAUCAACAGAAGAUUUCUGGCUUUUUAUUUCGUGCUACUUUUUAAAAUCGCUCCU
rnacentral:lncRNA from 1 species